UACGAAGGGGGCGAGCGUUGUUCGGAUUUACUGGGCGUAAAGGGCGCGCAGGCGGCUUAUUUUGUCAGGCGUGAAAGCCCCGGGCUCAACCUGGGAACUGCGUUUGAUACGGAUGGGCUAGAGUUCGGGAGAGGAGAGUGGAAUUCCCAGUGUAGAGGUGAAAUUCGUAGAUAUUGGGAAGAACACCGAUGGCGAAGGCAGCCAUCUGGACCGACACUGACGCUGAGGCGCGAAAGCGUGGGGAGCAAACAGG
rnacentral:rRNA from 1 species